UGUACUCACUACUUGUUCAUAGUAGUAGUUGCAGUUAACUCUACACUGUUAACAAUUAAUGCAGGAGACUACAUUUUCUAUACUGACUGGGCUUGGACAUCGUUUACGGUAUUUUCAAUAUCGCAAACUUUGAUGCUUUGCGUAGGUGCAACAUAUUACCUAACGUUUACAGGCGUUCCAGGAACAGCGACGUAUUACGCCCUAAUUAUGACAGUAUACACAUGGAUAGCAAAAGGUGCAUGGUUUGCUCUAGGUUAUCCAUAUGACUUCAUUGUAACACCAGUUUGGUUGCCAUCAGCAAUGUUGCUUGAUUUGGCAUAUUGGGCUACAAAGAAGAACAAACAUUCAUUGAUACUGUUUGGCGGUGUACUUGUAGGAAUGUCUUUACCAUUAUUCAACAUGGUAAACCUGAUAACAGUAGCAGACCCACUAGAAACGGCAUUCAAAUAUCCAAGACCAACAUUGCCACCAUGCAUGACACCAAUAGAGCCUCAAGUAGGUAAAUUCUAUAACAGUCCAGUAGCACUGGGUGCAGGUGCUGGUGCAGUAUUGUCAGUUACGUUUACAGCAUUAGGUUGUAAGCUAAACACU
rnacentral:rRNA from 1 species